CGAGACUGCCGGUGGAUAAACCGGAGGAAGGUGGGGAGUGACGUCAAGUCCUCAUGGCCCUUAUGCGUAGGGCUUCACACGUCAUACAAUGGUCGGUACAGAGGGUUGCCAACCCGCAGGGGGAGCCAAUCCCACAAAGCCGAUCGUAGUCCGGAUUGCAGUCUGCAACUCGACUGCAUGAAGUCGGAAUCGCUAGUAAUCGCGGAUCAGCAUGUCGCGGUGAAUACGUUCCCGGGUCUU
rnacentral:rRNA from 1 species